CUACGGGAGGCAGCAGUGGGGAAUUUUGGACAAUGGGCGAAAGCCUGAUCCAGCCAUUCCGCGUGCAGGAUGAAGGCCCUCGGGUUGUAAACUGCUUUUGUACAGAACGAAAAGGUUUCUACUAAUACUAGGAGCUCAUGACGGUACUGUAAGAAUAAGCACCGGCUAACUACGUGCCAGCAGCCGCGGUAAUA
rnacentral:rRNA from 1 species